CUUUCCCAUGCAAGCACACUAACACACACACACACACACACACACAUACACACACUCACUCACGCUGCAUCCCUCCCGCUCUGUUGCACUUAAGUCCAGAUUUGCUCUGGCCAUUCCUGCACACAAGCAGAGAGCGACACAACACGGCGGUGCCUAAGACCAUAGAAACUGCCACAGAGGUGGGGGCAGAGAUCGUCUUCAAGGUUGCUGUCAUCUGGAAUUUUAUGUCCUUCAUUUUCUUUCACUCUGUAUGCCUGUCACAUCGGCUUAACUAAAUGAAAUUUGGACUCCUUCUGCCAUUGCCAAGGAUUACACUGCUUUCUAAUAGGACCAUCUAAUCACUGUCACCCAUUCCCUGGACUCCCUCAGAAAGCAUCCCGUUUAGACAUGGUAUGUUUGCCCAACUCAAUGGAACUACUUAUGUGAAUAAAUCAACAAGACCAGAGAAGACUUGUCUUGAAGCCUGACUGGAUUCUUUCAGCCUCUUUAGCUGGUGUAAAGAAAGAAAAUGUUUCUUCUUACAGUCCUGGGCAGUACUCUGCAAGUCAUCUUGGAGAUCACAAAGACUAUGGAGUUUUCUGGGAAGAAUCUUUCAUUUUUGUUUCUGUACUCCAAGCAGAUGUAAUAAAUGCUGCACAAGUACACAUAUGCAUAACUCUCAACAGUUACUGUUAUGCAGCUUAAAAACACAAAUCACAGUAGGCUGCAUUUUUAGCACCACUUCUGAAAAACAGAGGCUGAUCAGCUCUGCAUUUGCAGUCUAGAAGCAAACUCCUGCACUUAUACAGACAAAUUCCAGGACUGAAUGAACAGGGAGAGCAACCUCUCCAUUUCUGUGGGAUUUUCUCUACUACCACAUCCAGUUCUAUAAAAUAUGACCUUCAAAUGGAGGGGAAGCCUAAUCCUAUUCAAAGUUACACGUGCAUAAUUUCAAAGCUUUAUGCCUGAGGGCUAUCCACACUGAGAGAGAUACUGCGUGUUGCUCUCUCUUCUUCCUAUUCACACACUCUUAUUGAUGUGAUUCAGUUGUAGAAAAUAACUUAUAAAAAAAGACAGUUUGAGAUGCUGUAUUCCUGUUUCCACCUGUAAAGCAUAGCCAAACGGACACUACAAUCAGUGUAGUUUCUUUCUGUCUUUCCUCUUCUUAGAAAUACUGGUUUACAAUGGGUUAAAAAUCUGCUGCUAAGCACUGGCCAUUUUAAGGUGUAUUCUUCUCCCCUGCUGAUUUGCCCUCUGACCUUCUGGGGGCCAGGGUGGCUGCAGACUUCAUUUUUACUCUAUUUCCUGGUCUCUCUCCUGGCUGUGCACUCAAUGUUUCCACAGCAGAUUAAUGACAGCUAAUAAUAUCUGAUAUAUCUGGACAUUGCCACAUAAUGAGUUGCAGUCCCACUGGGUGCUCAAAGUGUCACUACUAACAAAUUCACCAGAGCUGCACAUAAUUAGCAUGUAAAGGGAGUGAUCAUGCAGUAAAUCUGGAGGGGAAGAUGGAUAGCCCAUGAGGAAAAAAUAUAAGGAAAAACUACUGUUCUUAACACUCAUUGGUAUAUGUACUUUUCUUGCCAUGAAUAUUUCCUUGAUAACAAACCGUGGACAGGUUACCUUUACAGUAACAUUAUUCCUUCCACGGCUGAUAGGCAGAAUUUCAUUAUGCCACUGCUAAUGUUACAAUAUUUCUGCAAAAUGUCACCAUAUGUAAAUUAGAAGAGGUUGGAGUUUCAGUCUUAGUUUUCUUUCAAGAUGCACUGUCCCUUUCUGCUAUGGCCUAAUUCCCCUUUCUACUAGUUUACAGACAUGCUAACAUUGGUCCAACCUUGCAAAAUAAAAUUGGCAUUGGAGGACCUUCCUUCUCCAAUAACUAAGUAAGAAUGAAGAAACUCAACUCAGGAUGGAGCAAAGAUAUGGGAGUAAAAAUGAGCUUACUUGGUAAGGUUCUACCCAAAGCAUAAUCUUUCCUGACACGUCAGAAUACACCCAGUAAAAUAAAACAGGAUGCAUGGACAAUGUGAGUUGCCUGACCUGAUCUGAACACAGGUCUCUAACUUGUGACCAUCUGGCUGCCCAUCACACCCCAAGUGCAGCCUGCAGUCUGGGUAUGGGCAAAGAGGCUUUCCCAGGAGGACAAGGAGGUCGACAAGGAGCAGAUGAAUUGUCCUAAUGGGCUGCCUUCAGCCUGAAGAGCCCUAAAUAGGACAGCUUAGCUCUAGUUUAAGUCAGUCAUUUGUCCUCAUUAGAAACCAUUUCUCAGCAGUGUUAAAGACUUCAUUUUGGUUUAAAGUUGUGACAUUUACAGGCCUUUUGCUUCUUUGACAUCUGUGUGGGAAAACUUGCAUUUAGGUGACUCCAGCUCAGAGGCUUAUUUGAGCAAUUGCCCAAAAUGUGGCUAAUUCCAAUUACAAGGUUUGAGGUUUGUUUUCAUUAUUGUUUUGCUUAACAGAGAGGCACUUGGCCCUGAAGGCUUCAUUCUUCAAAUUGCUCUUGUUCUGAAGGCACAGGGGGAAAAAAAGAGUUAACAAUGAAGCCUCACUUAAAAAAAACAAAUCCAAAUCCCAAUAAGUAAACAAAAGAUACUGCCUAUAAAACAAAUGUUUUCCCAUGAUAAAUAAUUAUUCAAA